rnacentral:rRNA from 1 species
AUUGAACGCUGGCGGCAUGCUUUACACAUGCAAGUCGAACGGCAGCGCGGGCUUCGGCCUGGCGGCGAGUGGCGAACGGGUGAGUAAUGCAUCGGAACGUGCCCAGUAGUGGGGGAUAGCCCGGCGAAAGCCAGAUUAAUACCGCAUACGACCUGAGGGUGAAAGCGGGGGACCGAAAGGCCUCGCGCUAUUGGAGCGGCCGAUGUCGGAUUAGCUAGUUGGUGGGGUAAAGGCUUACCAAGGCGACGAUCCGUAGCUGGUCUGAGAGGACGACCAGCCAAAAUGGGACUGAGACACGGCCCAGACUCCUACGGGAGGCAGCAGUGGGGAAUUUUGGACAAUGGGGGCAACCCUGAUCCAGCCAUGCCGCGUGCGGGAAGAAGGCCUUCGGGUUUUAAACCGCUUUUGUUCGGGAAGAAAUCCUCUGGGCUAAUACCCCGGGGGGAUGACGGUACCGGAAGAAUAAGCACCGGCUAACUACGUG